rnacentral:rRNA from 1 species
CCGUGAGGGAAAGUUGAAAAGAACUUUGAAGAGAGAGUUCAAGAGUACGUGAAACCGCUCAGAGGUAAACGGGUGGAUCCGCAAAGUCGGCCCGUGGAACUCAGCUCGGCGAGCGGCUNGGGUAGACGNAGUUGUGGGAUACCUUGUACCAGGCUGCGUUUUUCUCUGASUUCGCCCGUGUGCAUUUUCCGCGGGNGAGCGCCACGACCGGUUUUUUGGGCYGUGAUAAGCUCGGUGGGAAGGUAGGUCGGAGCCUCUGGUACACUGUUAYAGCCCACUGCAGUGCACGGCUCGGAGACCGAGGAACGACCGCUGYAAAUAGGCAAUUUGGCCUUCCGGGGGAGUYCGACUAGCAGGGACUGGGCAACCGUGCCUGCUGACUGCUCCCACGUGAUGGAUCG